rnacentral:tRNA from 1 species
UGCUUGUUAGCGAAUAUGGGGAUGCCGCGGCGGCUUUCAAGCGGCCGGCUUGGCUUUCGAGACGACAACGAGCGCC